GAAUGAUUCUAUAACAGGACAUUCAGAGAUAGUGUGGUUCCAGAGUUGGUUAAUUCAGGGGUGAAGGUGUCAUAAGGAGUAGAUAGUUUUCUUAUUUCCAGACUGGCUCCCUUCAAUAGGCCGAAGGUAGCACUUUUUUUUUUUUUUAAUUAUUCAUUCACACUUUGGCCGGGCACAGUGGCUCAUACCUGGAAUCCCAGCACUUUGGGAGGUCAAGGUGGGCGGAUCAGGAGGUCAAGAGUUCGAGACCAGCCUGACCAACAUGGUAAAACCCCGUUUCUACUAAAAAUACAAAAAAUUAGCCAGGCAUGGUGGUGCACACCUGUAAUCCCAGCUACUCAGGAGGCUGAAGCAGGUGAAUCACUUGAAUCUGGGAGGCAGAGGUUGUGGUGAGCCAAGAUUGCACCGUUGCACUGGGCCACAGAGCAAGACUGCAUCUCAAAAAAAAAAAAAAUUAUUGAGCAGCAAAGGAGAUACAAAGGUGAUUUAAAACAUGGUCGGGGUGAGGCAAAUACACAAGUAAUAGAAAGCAAAGGGCAAGGUUCACUGAACCACUGCAGUCAGAAGAAAGUGCUUCAGGGAACCAAGAGUGAGAUUGUUAGAUUGUUUCCAGUCUGAAGAGGCGUGGAUGGCAAAUCAAAAAAGGGGAUUGAGAUUAAAAUAGAAGACUUCAGUCUGGAUUGUUGAUGACACUCAGUAUGGACUAUAUUUAUCUCUCCUUUUCCUUUCUCCACAUCUUUGGGCUUAAUUUACCAGUAGUGCCCAGGACUGUUCAAUGCGCUUUUUCUAUACUUGCUUGCAUUUUUUCUUUAAUGUCUUCUACAGAACUAGGUCGGUUCUUUUGGUGUUUUAGGAGUUUUUCCCUUUUUUUUUUUUGGAUUCCUGUCCUUUUGAUCUUGGUUGAUAAUGGUUUUUAGUCUUUUCCAUUCUGGUUUGACUUUUGUGCAUUUUUGGCUGGAUUAUCUCAUAUACAUUUCUUCACUGGUGAUUUUUCUUCAGUUUCCUCCUCAUCAAAAUCAUCAUCAUCAUUAUCAUCUUCAUCUUCAUCAGCAGCAAGUUUUACUUUUUCUGAGGAACGCUGCUACCACUGUAUAUCUAGAAAACAGUCUAGAUAUACUUAAGAGUUUUCUAGAUAUACUUAAGUGUUUUCUAGAUAUACUUAAGAGUUUCCCAUCUUCCUCCUCUUCAUCUUCUGAUUCUACAUCUUCCUCCACAGCUACUAACUGCUGUCCACUAAUAUGUGCUGGCCCUGAACCACACUUCAACCUAAGACCACUGGUGGUGUUAUGUCAAAGCCCCCAAGGGAAACCGUUGACUCUACAGACAUUUUCAAAGAUGGAUAGCCAAUUGUUCUAGCACCAUUUGUUGAAAAGAUGAUCUUGCUCUGUUAAAUCAUAUUGUCAUCUUUGUUGAAAAUAAAUUGAUCAAGGCCAGGUGUGGAGGCUCA
rnacentral:lncRNA from 13 species